UUUAUUAAGAGUUUGAUCCUGGCUCAGGAUGAACGCUGGCGGCGUGCCUAAUACAUGCAAGUCGAGCGAGAUGUUAGUGCAUGAACCUUCGGGGGAUUAUAUUAACGGACAGCGGCGGACGGGUGAGUAACGCGUAGGCAACCUGCCCUUGACAGAGGGAUAGCCAUUGGAAACGAUGAUUAAAACCUCAUAACACCGUAGAAGCACAUGCUUCAACGGUCAAAGAUUUAUCGGUCAGGGAUGGGCCUGCGUCUGAUUAACUAGUUGGUGAGGUAACGGCUCACCAAGGUGACGAUCAGUAGCCGACCUGAGAGGGUGAUCGGCCACAUUGGAACUGAGACACGGUCCAAACUUCUACGGAAGGCAGCAGUAGGGAAUCUUGCACAAUGGGCGAAAGCCUGAUGCAGCAACGCCGCGUGAAGGAUGAAGGCCUUCGGGUUGUAAACUUCUGUUCUAAGGGAAGAAACAAAUGACGGUACCUUAGGAGCAAGCCCCGGCUAACUACGUGCCAGCAGCCGCGGUAAUACGUAGGGGGCAAGCGUUAUCCGGAAUUAUUGGGCGUAAAGAGUGCGUAGGUGGUUACCUAAGCGCAAGGUUUAAUUUAGAGGCUCAACCUCUACUUGCCUUGCGAACUGGGCUACUUGAGUGCAGGAGGGGAAAGCGGAAUUCCUAGUGUAGCGGUGAAAUGCGUAGAUAUUAGGAGGAACACCAGCGGCGAAGGCGGCUUUCUGGACUGUAACUGACACUGAGGCACGAAAGCGUGGGUAGCAAACAGGAUUAGAUACCCUGGUAGUCCACGCCGUAAACGAUGACACUAGGUGUUGGGUCCGUUAGGGCUCAGUGCCGCAGUUAACGCAAUAAGUGCUCCGCCUGGGGAGUACGCUCGCAAGAGUAAAACUCAAAGGAAUUGACGGGGACCCGCACAAGCAGCGGAGCAUGUGGUUUAAUUCGAAGCAACGCGAAGAACCUUACCAGGGCUUGACAUCCUGCUGACAGGAUCUUAACCGAUCCCUUCUUCGGACAGCAGAGACAGGUGGUGCAUGGUUGUCGUCAGCUCGUGUCGUGAGAUGUUGGGUUAAGUCCCGCAACGAGCGCAACCCUUGUCGCUAGUUACUAACAUUCAGUUGAGGACUCUAGCGAGACUGCCGAGGUCAACUCGGAGGAAGGUGGGGAUGACGUCAAAUCAUCAUGCCCCUUAUGUUCUGGGCUACACACGUGCUACAAUGGUCGGUACAAUGAGAGGCAAUACUGCGAAGUGGAGCGAAUCACCAAAACCGAUCCCAGUUCGGAUUGUAGGCUGCAACUCGCCUACAUGAAGUUGGAGUUGCUAGUAAUCGCAGAUCAGAAUGCUGCGGUGAAUGCGUUCCCGGGUCUUGUACACACCGCCCGUCACACCAUGGAAGUUGGGGGUGCCCGAAGUCGGCUAAUUAAUCUGUCGCCUAAGGCAAAACCAAUGACUGGGGUGAAGUCGUAACAAGGUAGCCGUUCGAGAACGAGCGGCUGGAUCACCUCCUUU
rfam:Mogibacterium pumilum strain ATCC 700696 genome.